UUUCCACUAUGCAGAUGAGUCACUGGUGGAAUUUACAGAAAUACCCGUGUAAGACAGGCCUCCAACCCCUCUGAAAGGAGAUUGAGUUUAAAGUUGUUGGAAAUUAGGCACUCAUCCUGUUCAGGCAAUUUGGUAAAAUCUCAUAGCACGAACAUCAGCCCCAGUGACUGUUCAGCCAGUAAAUACUGAUGCACCUUCAAGAAGCUGAGCCAUGGAAACCUUUUGCCAGCUGAGCUGUCUUGUAGUGACCACUGCAGAUGGUUCAACUACCUGAUGCUUGCCUCAUCUCUAAUUUUGGCAACCUUUGCAAGCAGGGCCUUGACUUCCAGCCUGGUGCAGUAACUUUCACUUUAUUGCACCUCUUCAAAGAGCUUCCAGAACAGUACAUGGGUUUCAGCUUGGUGGUUGGCCUCUCUCCUUCAUUCCUCCAUAAAUCCUGCAAACAAGAGAAGAAAGCAGCAGCAGGCAAUUACACUGUUGGCUCUAGUAGACCACAGUGGCACGUCCUAAGAUCGCUAUUGUGCCAUGAAGAGGGGUCUUCAGCAUGCAGAUUUCUACAAUGAAGCUUAGCACUUGUAAUUCUAUCCUUUUCUUGGUUAAUACAAAUUUUCUUCAUAAGGCCAGAACAUAAAGCUUUGAUUCCUUCUGUGAAGUGUUGCUAUGGCAUUUCUCCAAAACUCUGGUCAGUGGGUAAGAUUUGGCCUUUUAACUAUUAUGGCCAAGAUUAGCGUUUUCAGUUCUUGAAAUAUAAUAUGUGCAAUAAAUAAUUUAGCU